GGUCUGCUACCUGUAGGGGUGGGAAAUAUAAUCUUCAUCUUGUAAGAAGAAAGAGCAGCCCCAAUCGUAAGAUCUUUAGGCUAAAAGUAUAGUUUAAUCAGGUGCCUUCUCUGAGUAUUAGCCUGAAGAUUACGUGGACAAAGAGCGUCUAACUGAACUGGAAUGCUCAGUGGGCCCCUUCCGAUGCCUGCAAUUGUAAGAUUCCCCCGAGAUGGAAGGAAAUGCAUAGGAGCACUGCACCAAACUGCCCACAGGUCACAGAGAACAGAACCAGGGGCCAUGGGUACAAGCUGAAGAAGGGCAUAUUCCAAACUGAGGGGAGAAGGAGC